GGCUCUGAGGUCCUCACUGUUGUCACACUCGGUGGAGACAGAGGAAAGCCGAAUAGCAUUCAUUACUGCAUCGUGAGCGGAGGCGAAGGUUCCUUUGAAAUCAGCAACAGCACCGGAGCCAUUUCAGUUAUAAAAAGUCCAAAUCAGCUCAAGAAAGAAGUGCAUGAACUAAGAGUUCAUGUAUAUACUGAGGGCCCCAGCUGUGCUCAGUUUACCCUGCUACCACCCCCUUCCUGGCAGACCCCUCAUGGGGAAAUCUCCCGCUAAUUGUGAGUGUGGUUCCUUAUCUUGGUGUGACCAGAGGCAUUGCAAUCCAUGCAGUGAUACAUAUGGGAGUUGAGAAACAAUUUGCAGAAUCCCCCUAAUAUAUAGUCUAAAUUAUGCUGCUGCUUGGCUACUGCUGCUAGCUCUAACUGCAUCUACUUCAAGACAAGGAUCUUUCUUUCCAUCCUCAGAAAAAAAGACAACUAUUUUUUAAGGAAAUUUCAUCAUAUUUUUCCAUUGCAGAGCUGUAAUGCCAAACCAGAGAACAUACUAAUUUUUCAUAUGGGAGACAACAAGCAUGAGCUUGGUUGGGACUGGAUUAUUACCGCACUUUCUAAUCACCAUGAAGUCCAGUGCAAAGCAGACCAAUAUUUCUACGGAAAGGUAAUGUUGUGAAUGCUUGUACACAAGUCCUGUGUCAGGGUGCUUUGUGCAUGCGGAAGACGACCCGAACGCAGAACUAAGGAAGGAGACAGCUGCAGCUAAGAAGGGAAUAUUCCCUCAUCACUGUUCUCCCGCUUUACUUUGUGCAGGCAUCAGAAGUCUGCCCAAAAGGUGACAUCUCAGCAUACGCCUUUGCCACGGUGACUAUAAGGGUGGUCAAUCUCAACAACUGACAUUUCAUGGAGAAAGCGGUUCCCAGAACAGAUUUGAACCAAUCAUAUAGGAGCAUCCCCAGAGGGUGAAAUCAUAAGAGGAUUUAAGAUGACAGUCUAUAAUUCAGACCAGGUACAUGCAAACUGCGUGAGUUUUCCUGCCCUGUUUUCCCAAAAAUAGAAAGGGACACCAGAGAGACAAAUGUCAGGCCUUUGUUUUUUUUUGGAACACACAUUGGAACACAUGCACUCCUAGAAAGCUUAGGGCAAGCAAAAUACUUGCCAGGACCGUUGUCACAGAGAAUUUGGACUCUAAGGCACAUUUAGUUUGUCAUACAUCAUUUAGUCUGACCAUUAUGUCAGAGAGAAGAGCGCCGGUCACAAAUCUGCAGCCCACCUCUCAAGGACCUCUGAAAUUGAAAAGUCUUCAUGCAUUUCCUUUGUCUGUUGGUUAUGUUCAGUUGCUGUCAGCAUAAAGUCUGGGAACAUAUUCCCUUUAGAUAACUACUGAAGCCCCAAUUGCUUUAGCAACUUUGAGUGCUUUAAGUUUCCGUCCGUACCUUUCAUAAGCCCUCUGGAAACAAUUCUGUCUGUGCCCUUACAUUGUAGUUAUGGCAGCGUAUUAUCCUUCUAGAGAUUAUGUUGCAACCAGAGUCUGUAAUUCAUGCUUUGAAAUAUCAUUCCCAUUGGAGUCAUAUUUUUAGGUCAUCUUAAAAAUUAUGCCAGCACCGAACUAACUGAUCAAAGGAAAAAAAAAAGACAACUCCAUCCAUCUCAGUCCAAUAACUAGCUGACUUCUGCCACCCACAGACAUCAUUAUGACAGUCACUAUAGGCAUCCCUAAGCUGAAUACCGCAGGAAGGGCAUCUGUCCAAAGAUGAUGGAAAGAGCACUCUUAUUCAACCAUUCUCAGUAUUGUGCUGUUUUGACUGUGCUGUAUUCUAAGAAAACCACCACCUUCUUCCACCUCCCUCCAACUGCUCUGCAGCAAGCAGAUAAACAACUGCUUUCAAAGCAGCACUGCGUCUAUCUCACUAUUGUCACUGAAGAUGUUUCUACAGAAGAAACUAAACCUCUUUUAUUUGGAGACCAAACAUAUAUGUAUCACCUAGACUGGCAAAAUACUCAGGGCCACAAGUUAGGCUAUAAAAUAGGCAGAAAAUACAGCUAAUUGUUCAGAUUUCAUAAGAAACUUCCUAAUACAGGAUAAGAUACCACUCUAUGAGGAUUGGGUUGCAUCACACUACAAUAGGAUGGAAACUACCUGAUAAUAGUAGGAUGAUAAAGUCUUUAGCUAGAGCAAACAAGGAGAAGCCCAAACGCAGCAGCUGCAGGCAUAACAAAGGAAAAGAGCUCUUACCUUUAAAAUACUUACAUAGUUGGAAGGGACAUCCAGCAAGAAAAACCCUUACUCCCUACUGCCAAUCCUUAAAUGAGGGCUGGGAAGGGGUGGAUCCUGGCUCCAGCCACUCAGGUCACUCACUUGCAUUGCACGCACCUGGGCUGGCCCCGCCUUCCCACCAGGUGCUCUAUCAGUGGUUGAGGCCCUGAUUUAGCAUUUCCAGUCAGGCUGAUACAGUUUCAAGGAUCAGAAAGCAAUGUUUUUCCCCCUAUAAAGACUUACGUCUCUGUAACAGCCAUCAAGGUCUCUGGUGGUGCAGGCGAGAAGGAAGCCGCGAUCGCGGCCUAAGGUUUGAUGGAAAUGCCAUCUUGCAAGAACAUCACACAGAAAUUUCUCACCCCGCUCUCUUUAGCCAGCAGACGCCACUAAGGGCCUGGUGUGAUCAUGCCUUCUGUUGCUCCUCUGUCCCACGGCUAUCUGCUUUGCUAUGUGCAGCAGGGCUUACUCCGUGCAGAUCCGGGCUGGGCGGAUAAUACUGUCAAAAAUCACCGAGCCUUUGAAGGGAGGCUUUGAACUCUGAAGGCCAACCGUCCUGAGCAUUCAAAGCAUCUUAUAUAUUUAAAUUUUAUGUGGGGGAAGAAUGGAACUCAACACUUAUUUGACGGCAUAACAAUCUGUAGUUUCCUCCAUCUGCUUUCUGGAAGUGCAGGCUAAGAAUAUCCCGACACGUCGGUCUUGCGUAGACCGUUCACAACCCAGCAGUGAUUUUCCAUCUUUUCAAAGCGUGACAAAGUUAAAUUGUUCUAUUCUUCAAAUGUGGAUAUAUUAAAAGGAGCAGUAAGUGGAAGUGAAAAAACCACAUGAAUUCUCACUACUUAAGUCAGAGUUCUGGCUUUAUCUUGACACAUUUAUUUGAAUAAAAUAGCAACCCAAGGAGAAAGCACUCAUCAUUGACUAAUGUCUAUGAACAGGUCUUUCCUACAGGGAAACCUUUAGUCAGUUGCUACUUAAUAUCCAAGAUACCAGAACAGUCUGAGUUAGGAAUACCAAAUGUAAAACUGGAAGCUCGAUUUUAAAAAAGUAGGUUAUGUGCCAUUACUGGACAAGGGGUCUGUUAUUUAUCUAAAUUUCUAAAUAUAAUUGCUCACCUGCAUACUCAAAACUCAAACGGUUCCUAUAGCCUGGCACCAUUAGCAAAAUGUAGAAAAAAUCAAUACAAUAGCUUUUCAAAUAAGGAAACGCUGAUGAAGUGCACUCAGGAUUUAAGCUUUUUGUUGUUGUUGUUGAAUACCGAAAUUAAAAUUCAGAGUUCAAAUUCUUAUAUUAAAAUAGGAGCACGAGGACGUAAAUCCAGGGAGACAGCGGCGAAGCACAGGAACAAAAAAUGAGAAAGAACCCUUCAGAAUUAUUCCUUUAUAUAUAAGUCUCCCUGGUAAGUCAGUCUAUGUCGAGAAAGGUGAUUAAAGCCCAUCUGAUACGUACGCCUAUCUCUUCCUAUUCUCUCAUUCGCAACUCCAGCCCCUGUCCAAUAAACGUUCCCCGUCAGAACAAGCAAAACUAUAGAGUUACAUUAAGCAGCAAAUUUCAAGUGGAGACAAAGCGGGGAGCUGAGAAGCUCAGUUUAAAGGCCAUAUUUACUCCCUGUUCAUUUUUGUCUCCGUUUUCCUUCCUAACCAGUCACAUAAUAGAAGUAUUUUCUGGAGACAUCAUUGUCAUCUGUUCCUCUCCGCUGUAUGUUUCGCAUGAGUGUUUUUUGUUGUUUUUUUUUUGUUUUUUUUACAAAUGCCUUGGUUUCUGAAAGCGUCCAAAAUGCUGUUGCACAGUCACUCUUCCCAUAUUUUGUAAACCAUCUAAUUUAAAGAAAUAAAGAAACUCCGCUCUAUCCUUUGUCGAAGCACGUCCAUUACUGUAGGAAGGGCUGUACAUCAUUUGUUGGAAUCGCUCUAUUCCAACAAAUCAGCAAAAUAGCAAACGUAAGGAUUCGCUCCAUGAGGAGUCAUAGACGUGGCUAGAGUCAGCGUGAGAUAAAAACAGUCAAAUGAUAAAGGAUGGUACUAAAGAAACAAAUGUCAGCGGUUUAAACGCGCUCAAUGGUAUGGCUGAAUCGUAUUUGGUAUCGAACCGCUCUCAAAGGGAGAACACUUAAAGGCACUUCUCAUGCCACAGCGAGGUCUGGUUGAUUUGUCACAGCCACAACUUGUCAUAAGUUAAAAUUGCCUGAUCAAUGGAAACAGAACAAAUUGUCUUAUGUUGUUAAAAAGGGAUAGGCUGUGUUUAACUUUUCAAAAUGAGGAUGUCUGAAUUUGUUUUAUUCCUUUUUUAGAAAUAAAAAAUGAGACCUGGUUGAUAUACGGUAA